UACGGGGGGGGCAAGCGUUGUUCGGAAUUACUGGGCGUAAAGGGCUCGUAGGCGGCCAACUAAGUCAGACGUGAAAUCCCUCGGCUUAACCGGGGAACUGCGUCUGAUACUGGAUGGCUAGAGGUUGGGAGAGGGAUGCGGAAUUCCAGGUGUAGCGGUGAAAUGCGUAGAUAUCUGGAGGAACACCGGAGGCGAAGGCGGCAUCCUGGACCAAUUCUGACGCUGAGGAGCGAAAGCCAGGGGAGCAAACGGG
rnacentral:rRNA from 1 species